rnacentral:rRNA from 1 species
AUUGAACGCUGGCGGCCUGCCUAACACAUGCAAGUCGAACGAGUGGCGGACGGGUGAGUAAUGUCUGGGAACCUGCCCGAUGGAGGGGGCUAACUACUGGAAACGGUAGCUACUACCGCAUACCAUCGUUUGUGCCCUGAUUGGAUUAGCUAGUCGGUGGGGUAACGGCUCACCUAGGCGACGAUCCCUAGCUGGUCUGAGAGGAUGACCAGCCACACUGGAACUGAGACACGGUCCAGAAUCCUACGGCAGGCAGCAGUGGGGAAUCUUGCACAAUGGGCGAAAGCCUGAUGCAGCAAUGCCGCGUGUAUGAAGAAGGCCUUCGGGUUGUAAAGUACUUUCAGCGAGGAGGCGUUACUCGAAGAAGAAGCACCGGCUAACUCCGUGCCAGCAGCCGCGGUAAUAC